rnacentral:rRNA from 1 species
AACGAACGCUGGCGGCAUGCCUAACACAUGCAAGUCGAACGAGACCUUCGGGUCUAGUGGCGCACGGGUGCGUAACGCGUGGGAACCUGCCCUUAGGUUCGGAAUAACUCAGAGAAAUUUGAGCUAAUACCGGAUAAUGUCUUCGGACCAAAGAUUUAUCGCCUUUGGAUGGGCCCGCGUAGGAUUAGCUUGUUGGUGGGGUAAUGGCCUACCAAGGCGACGAUCCUUAGCUGGUCUGAGAGGAUGAUCAGCCACACUGGGACUGAGACACGGCCCAGACUCCUACGGGAGGCAGCAGUGGGGAAUAUUGGACAAUGGGCGAAAGCCUGAUCCAGCAAUGCCGCGUGAGUGAUGAAGGCCUUAGGGUUGUAAAGCUCUUUUACCCGGGAUGAUAAUGACAGUACCGGGAGAAUAAGCUCCGGCUAACUCCGUGCCAGCAGCCGCCGUAA